GGGAAUUUUCCGCAAUGGGCGAAAGCCUGAUGGAGCAACGCCGCGUGAGUGAAGAAGGUCUUAGGAUUGUAAAGCUCUGUCCUUAGGGAAGAACCGUGGGUAUAGUUAAUGAUACCCACCUGACGGUACCUUUGGAGGAAGCACUGGCUAACUACGUGCCAGCAGCCGCGGUAAUACGUAGAGUGCAAGCGUUGUCAGGAAUUAUUGGGCGUAAAGGGUACGCAGGCGGAUAAUCAAGUCAAGCGUGAAAGGUGUCGGCUUAACCGACAGACUGCGUUUGAAACUGGUUAUCUUGAGUGUAACAGAGGAGAGUGGAAUUCCUAGUGUAGUGGUGAAAUACGUAGAUAUUAGGAAGAACACCAGUGGCGAAGGCGACUCUCUGGGCUGACACUGACGCUGAGGUACGAAAGCUGGGGGAGCGAAAGGGAUUAGAUACCCCUGUAGUC
rnacentral:rRNA from 1 species